rnacentral:rRNA from 1 species
GUAUACAAUCUGCCUUAUACUGGGGGAUAGCCUUUGGAAACGAAGAUUAAUACCCCAUAGUCUAUGAACGUGGCAUCCGAUCAUAGUAAAGGUUACGGUAUAAGAUGAGUAUGCGUCCUAUUAGUUAGUUGGUAAGGUAACGGCUUACCAAGACGACGAUAGGUAGGGGCCCUGAGAGGGGGAUCCCCCACACUGGUACUGAGACACGGACCAGACUCCUACGGGAGGCAGCAGUGAGGAAUAUUGGACAAUGGGGGCAACCCUGAUCCAGCCAUGCCGCGUGCAGGAAGACGGCCCUAUGGGUUGUAAACUGCUUUUAUACAGGAAGAAACACUCUCACGUGUGAGAGCUUGACGGUACUGUAAGAAUAAGGACCGGCUAACUCCGUGCCAGCAGCCGCGGUAAUACGGAGGGUCCGAGCGUUAUCCGGAAUCAUUGGGUUUAAAGGGUCCGUAGCGGGCUAUUAAGUCAGAGGUGAAAGUUUGCGGCUCAACCGUAAAAUUGCCUUUGAUACUGGUAGUCUUGAAUUAAUAUGAAGUGGUUGGAAUGUGUAGUGUAGCGGUGAAAUGCAUAGAUAUUACACAGAACACCAAUUGCGAAGCAGAUCACUAAUAUUAUAUUGACGCUGAGGGACGAAAGCGUGGGUAGCGAACAGGAUUAGAUACCCUGGUAGUCCACGCCGUAAACGAUGGAUACUAGCUGUUCGGACUUCGGUCUGAGUGGCCAAGCGAAAGUGAUAAGUAUCCCACCUGGGGAGUACGUUCGCAAGAAUGAAACUCAAAGGAAUUGACGGGGGCCCGCACAAGCGUGGAGCAUGUGGUUUAAUUCGAUGAUACGCGAGGAACCUUACCAGGGCUUAAAUGUAGUCUGACAGCUG